rnacentral:tRNA from 1 species
CAGGGAGACAACACAAUGAUUUUGAUGCCUGAGUGCUUUUAUUCUUAGGCCGAAAUCCUGUCACCUUAGGUCGAUCGGUACCUCAGCUUUGAAGUCAAGGAUCAGCAGCAAUGUUGGUUGCUUGAUGGAGAUUUUUAGUUCCUAAACUUUGUCUAGGUCACACCCCAAAAGGGAUGAGACUCCUGGGCCAUUAGCUCAGGUGGUUAGAGCGCACCCCUGAUAAGGGUGAGGUCCCUGGUUCAAGUCCAGGAUGGCCCAUUCGUUGUUGGGGGUAUAGCUCAGUUGGUAGAGCGCCUGCUUUGCAAGCAGGAUGUCAGCGGUUCGAGUCCGCUUACCUCCACUGAACAACUACCUGAUAACUAAAAUUAAUGGAGAUUGACUUUGUUUAAUGUGACUUGGAAUUUGUUCAUCUGAAAUGAACCUAGCUUCCUAUCAUUCCCUUUAUUUAUAAAAAUAUUUGAGGUUGAUAAGACGCUGGGCUCACUGAAAUUUUAAAGAUUUCAGGAAAGUUCAGCAGAACCUUGACAACUGCAUAGGUAAGUCUGGAAAGAAUAAAGCAUCUCAAUAGAUGCACAAUUCUAUUUAUUUCUUAAACAAGAGCCGAGACUCCAAUUAUAGAAAUAACUUUUUUAAAUUUUAGUUCUAUAAAUUUGAAUUGGAGAAAUUUGAAU